rnacentral:rRNA from 1 species
UACGUAGGGUGCAAGCGUUGUCCGGAUUUAUUGGGUUUAAAGGGUGCGUAGGCGGCCCUGUAAGUCAGUGGUGAAAUACUCCAGCUUAACUGGAGGGGUGCCAUUGAUACUGCAGGGCUUGAGUUAAGUUGAAGUUGGCGGAAUUGACGGUGUAGCGGUGAAAUGCUUAGAUAUCGAGAGGAACACCUGCGGCGAAGGCGGGUUGCUGGGCUGACACUGACGCUGAGGCGCGAAAGCUAGGGGAGCGAACGGG